rnacentral:rRNA from 1 species
GCGCAACCCUUAAGCUUAGUUGCCAUCAUUAAGUUGGGCACUCUAAGUUGACUGCCGGUGACAAACCGGAGGAAGGUGGGGAUGACGUCAAAUCAUCAUGCCCCUUAUGAUUUGGGCUACACACGUGCUACAAUGGACAAUACAAAGGGCAGCGAAACCGCGAGGUCAAGCAAAUCCCAUAAAGUUGUUCUCAGUUCGGAUUGUAGUCUGCAACUCGACUACAUGAAGCUGGAAUCGCUAGUAAUCGUAGAUCAGCAUGCUACGGUGAAUACGUUCCCGGGUCUUGUACACACCGCCCGUCACACCACGAGAGUUUGUAACACCCGAAGCCGGUGGAGUAACCUUUUAGGAGCUAGCCGUCGAAGGUGGGACAAAUGAUUGGGGUGAAGUCGUAACAAGGUAGCCGUAUCGGAAGGUGCGGCUGGAUCACCUCCUUUCUA